CGCCUUCAUGGCCUCGCCGCGCAACUUGUCGCCGGUCUCUCUGACCCAGCCGAGCUCCUCCUCGACGACUUCGAUGCCGGAGAGAUCGUACUGGUCGUAGAGCGCCAAGAUCUCGCAAUUCAGCUGGGCGGCCUUGGCGAGAUCGAUCUUCUCGGGGUCGACGGCGAGGUCGCGGAGCUUCUUGGAGAGGCGGAGGGCGCGGAGGGUGUGGUGGAGGAGCUCGGAGGUGGCG
rnacentral:lncRNA from 1 species